UUACGAUUUUGAAGGAGGAGCCUAAAGGCUAAGUGGCAGUAUCUCUUCUUUAGCUUAAUAACUAGUAGUUCUAAUUUGGUAUUUUAUACUCUUAGCACAUCACACAAGUGAGUGAUGAGGAAGAGGAUGAUGAUGGCUGUGACCUUUUUGCUGACUCUGAGAAGGAGGAGAAAGAUAUUGAGGACAUUGAAGAAAAUACUAGACCUAAAAGAAGCAGACCUACAUCGUUUGCAGAUGAGCUGGCUGCCCGCAUCAAGGGGGAUGCCGUGGGCCGAGUGGACGAGGAGCCGACAAAUGAAGAGGAUAACUUAUUCGCACCCCCCAAGCUGACCGACGAGGACUUCUCGCCAUUUGGCUCUGGAGGUGGCCUGUUCAGUGGGGGCAAGGGGCUCUUUGAUGAUGAGGACGAGGAGAGUGACCUCUUCACGGAAGCCCCCCAGGAUCGGCAAGCUGGAGCCUCUGUUAAGGAGGAGUCUUCAUCAUCCAAACCUGGAAAGAAAAUCCUAGCAGGAGCUGUUUCUGUAUUUUUAGGAGACACGGAUGUGCUGCCUCCGUUCCAUCACUGAAGGAGCCACAGAAGCCUGAGCAGCCCACUCCAAGGAAAAGCCCCUAUGGUCCCCCUCCCACUGGCCUGUUUGAUGAUGAUGAUGGUGAUGAUGAUAACGACUUUUUCUCGACACCCCACAGCAAACCUUCCAAAACAGGCAAAGUCCAAUCCACUGCUGAUAUCUUUGGUGAUGAAGAAGGAGAUCUGUUCAAAGAAAAAGCCGUAGCAUCGCCAGAAGCCACGGUUACCUUACCUUCCAGCAAAAAUCUCAAGCCCUCGUCAGAAACAAACACUCAAAAAGGCUUAUUUUAGGAUCAGGAGGACUCUGAGGAUUUGUUUUCUUCUCAAAGUGCGAGUAACUUAAAAGGUGCGUCUCUGCUGCCUGGCAAGCUCCCCACGUCGGUUUCCCUGUUUGAUGAUGAAGAUGAAGAGGAUAAUCUUUUUGGGGGUACAGCUGCUAAGAAGCAGACAUUGUCUCUACAAGCUCAAAGACAAGAGAAAGCAAAAGCCUCCAAGCUCUCCAAAAAGAAAGCAUCUGCCCUGUUGUUCAGCAGUGAUGAGGAGGCCAGGCGCAGUGGCUCACGCCUGUAAUCCUAACACUUUGGGAAGCCGAGGCGGGUGGAUCACCUGAGGAGACUGUAGUCAAAUAAAAC
rnacentral:lncRNA from 1 species